rnacentral:rRNA from 1 species
ACGAGUGGCGGACGGGUGAGUAAUGUCUGGGAAACUGCCUGAUGGAGGGGGAUAACUACUGGAAACGGUGGCUAAUACCGCAUAACGUCGCAAGACCAAAGAGGGGGACCUUCGGGCCUCUUGCCAUCAGAUGUGCCCAGAUGGGAUUAGCUUGUUGGUGAGGUAACGGCUCACCAAGGCGACGAUCCCUAGCUGGUCUGAGAGGAUGACCAGCCACACUGGAACUGAGACACGGUCCAGACUCCUACGGGAGGCAGCAGUGGGGAAUAUUGCACAAUGGGCGCAAGCCUGAUGCAGCCAUGCCGCGUGUAUGAAGAAGGCCUUCGGGUUGUAAAGUACUUUCAGCGGGGAGGAAGGUGUUGUGGUUAAUAACCGCAGCAAUUGACGUUACCCGCAGAAGAAGCACCGGCUAACUCCGUGCCAGCAGCCGCGGUAAUACGGAGGGUGCAAGCGUUAAUCGGAAUUACUGGGCGUAAAGCGCACGCAGGCGGUCUGUCAAGUCGGAUGUGAAAUCCCCGGGCUCAACCUGGGAACUGCAUUCGAAACUGGCAGGCUUGAGUCUUGUAGAGGGGGGUAGAAUUCCAGGUGUAGCGGUGAAAUGCGUAGAGAUCUGGAGGAAUACCGGUGGCGAAGGCGGCCCCCUGGACAAAGACUGACGCUCAGGUGCGAAAGCGUGGGGAGCAAACAGGAUUAGAUACCCUGGUAGUCCACGCCGUAAACGAUGUCUACUUGGAGGUUGUGCCCUUGAGGCGUGGCUUCCGGAGCUAACGCGUUAAGUAGACCGCCUGGGGAGUACGGCCGCAAGGUUAAAACUCAAAUGAAUUGACGGGGGCCCCGCACAAGCGGUGGAGCAUGUGGUUUAAUUCGAUGCAACGCGAAGAACCUUACCUGGUCUUGACAUCCACAGAAGGUUCCAGAGAUGAAACUGUGCCUUCGGAACAGUGAGAAAGGUGCUGCAUGGGCUGUCGUCAGCUCGGGUUGUGAAUGUUGGGUUAGUCCCGCACGAGCGCACCCUUAUCCUUUGUUGCCACGAUCAGGCGGUACUCAAAGGAAACUGCCAGGAUACUGGAGGAGGGGGGAUGACGUCAAGUCAUCAUGCUUCACGACACUGGCUACACUGCUCAAUGGCAUCCAAGAGAAGCUACUUCUG